AGUCGAGCGGAUGAGUGAGCUUGCUCAUGGAUUCAGCGGCGGACGGGUGAGUAAUGCCUAGGAAUCUGCCUGGUAGUGGGGGACAACGUUUCGAAAGGAACGCUAAUACCGCAUACGUCCUACGGGAGAAAGCAGGGGACCUUCGGGCCUUGCGCUAUCAGAUGAGCCUAGGUCGGAUUAGCUAGUUGGUGAGGUAAUGGCUCACCAAGGCUACGAUCCGUAACUGGUCUGAGAGGAUGAUCAGUCACACUGGAACUGAGACACGGUCCAGACUCCUACGGGAGGCAGCAGUGGGGAAUAUUGGACAAUGGGCGAAAGCCUGAUCCAGCCAUGCCGCGUGUGUGAAGAAGGUCUUCGGAUUGUAAAGCACUUUAAGUUGGGAGGAAGGGUUGUAGAUUAAUACUCUGCAAUUUUGACGUUACCGACAGAAUAAGCACCGGCUAACUCUGUGCCAGCAGCCGCGGUAAUACAGAGGGUGCAAGCGUUAAUCGGAAUUACUGGGCGUAAAGCGCGCGUAGGUGGUUCGUUAAGUUGGAUGUGAAAUCCCCGGGCUCAACCUGGGAACUGCAUCCAAAACUGGCGAGCUAGAGUAUGGUAGAGGGUGGUGGAAUUUCCUGUGUAGCGGUGAAAUGCGUAGAUAUAGGAAGGAACACCAGUGGCGAAGGCGACCACCUGGACUGAUACUGACACUGAGGUGCGAAAGCGUGGGGAGCAAACAGGAUUAGAUACCCUGGUAGUCCACGCCGUAAACGAUGUCAACUAGCCGUUGGGAGCCUUGAGCUCUUAGUGGCGCAGCUAACGCAUUAAGUUGACCGCCUGGGGGAGUACGGCCGCAAGGUUAAAACUCAAAUGAAUUGACGGGGGCCCGCACAAG
rnacentral:rRNA from 1 species